UACUUGGUUGAUCCUGCCAAGGAAGCACACUUAGGUCAUAGAUUAAGCCAUGCAAGUGUUAGUUCAGGUAACGAAACUGCGAAUAGCUCAUUAAUACGCUCAGAAUCUAUUUGGCGGCGACCAACAGGUCUUAAAUGGAUAGCAGCAGCAACUCUGGUGCUAAUACAUGCGAUUGUUUCUCCAGAUGUGAAUUAUGGAGGAAAAGUUGACCUCAUCAGAGGCACGCCAUUCGACUGAGUGACCUAUCAGCUUGUACUUAGGGUCUUUACCUAGGUAGGCUAUCACGGGUAACGGGCGGUUACCGUCGGACUGCCGGAGAAGGCGCCUGAGAGAUAGCGACUAUAUCCACGGGUAGCAGCAGGCGCGAAACUUUCCCACUCGAGACUUUCGGAGGAGGUAAUGACCAGUUCCAUUGGUGCCUUUUGGUACUGUGGAUAGGGGUACGGUUUUCCACCGUACCGAAACCUAGCAGAGGGCCAGUCUGGUGCCAGCAGCUGCGGUAAUUCCAGCUCUGCGAGUUUGCUCCCAUAUUGUUGCAGUUAAAACGCCCGUAGUCUGAAUUGGCCAGCAAUGGUCGUACGUAUUUUUACGUUCACUGUGAACAAAUCAGGACGCUUAGAGUAUGGCCACAUGAAUGACUCAGCGCAGUAUGAAGUCUUUGUUUUCUUCCGAAAACAAGCUCAAUGAGAGCCAUCGGGGGUAGAUCUAUCUCAUGACGAGUGGUGGAAUACUUUGACUCAUGAGAGAGAAGCUGAGGCGAAGGCGUCUACCUAGAGGG
rfam:Trichomonas vaginalis G3, whole genome shotgun sequence.